UCCCAGAUGGCUCAGUGGUAAAGAAUCUGCCUACAAUGCAGCAGACAUGGGUUCGAUCCCUGGUUUGGGCA
rnacentral:tRNA from 1 species